rnacentral:rRNA from 1 species
GAUGAACGCUGGCGGCGUGCCUAAUACAUGCAAGUCGAGCGAACAGACGAGGAGCUUGCUCCUCUGACGUUAGCGGCGGACGGGUGAGUAACACGUGGAUAACCUACCUAUAAGACUGGGAUAACUUCGGGAAACCGGAGCUAAUACCGGAUAAUAUAUUGAACCGCAUGGUUCAAUAGUGAAAGACGGUUUUGCUGUCACUUAUAGAUGGAUCCGCGCCGCAUUAGCUAGUUGGUAAGGUAACGGCUUACCAAGGCAACGAUGCGUAGCCGACCUGAGAGGGUGAUUCGCCAACACGGAACCGAGACACGGUCCAGACCCCUAAGGGAGGCAGGAGGAGGGAAACCUCCGGCAUGGGGCGAAGGCUGACGGGGGAAAGCCGGGUUGGUUGUGAAGGUCUUCGGAUCGGAAAACCUCGGUAAUAGGGAAGAACAAAUUGGGAAGUUACUAAGCACGGCCUGAAGGUAACUUAACAGAAAGCCACCGCCUAACACGUU